rnacentral:lncRNA from 2 species
UGAGAGGAGGGUGCAGACCAGAUUUUUAAAUUGAGAAUGCAACAGUGAAGGAUUUCAAGCUUGGAGUGAGAGGGGAGACUACGAGCCUGCAGUGAUAAGGCAAAGCUGAAGAUUUCAGAGCCAAGGCCACACCCUACAGUUGCCAUGGAAUGGGGUGGCACAGUGGGCUUUGGAGGUAAAGUCUGCAGUUGAGAAGUUCAAGGGUAAUAUACAGGGAGUCCACGGAGCCUCCCCUGCAAGCAUCAGUACAGAAGUCGAUGAUAAUCUGGAUGCAAGCCCAGGAGUGUGGAGUCCACUGACUCAGAAGACCUGCAUCUAAGGAAUUGGCUGUUCUUAUCCUUAAGAAUGAUGACUGUGUUUCCAAUUCCAGUAGACCCUUUGAUGCGUUCUGAAUAAAUAUUCCUUUUGGAAUUGAA